UAGGCGACCGGGUGAGUAACACGUGACUAACCUACCUUCGAGUGGGGGAUAACCUAAGGAAACCUGGGGCUAAUACCGCAUAACAUCUUUGGAGUGGAAAUUCCGCAGAUCAAAGGAGCAAUUCGCUGGAAGAGGGGGUCGCGGCUGAUUAGCUAGUUGGCGGGGUAAUGGCCCACCAAGGCUUUGAUCGGUAGCCGGCCUGAGAGGGCGCACGGCCACACUGGAACUGAAACACGGGCCAG
rnacentral:rRNA from 1 species